AGUCUUGCUCUGUCACCCAGGCUGGAGUGCAGUGACGCGAUCUCGGCUCAAGCAACCUCCACCCGCUGGGUUUAAGGGAUUCUCCUGCCUUAGCCUCCCGAGUAGAUUACAGGCAUGUGCCACCAUGCCCAGUAGUUGGGACUUCCACUAUGAUGCUGAAAGGAAAUGAAGAAAGGAGACAUCCUUAUUUUGUUCCUAAUCCUGGUGGGAAAGCUUCAAGUUUCUCAACGGACCUCCUGCAGAGCCCCUGUCCAUCUCCUUGUGCCUAAGCUACCACUCCUUCCAUAGUUCCAGGAGUACUUGGCUUAUAAGGAUGCCACAGGAAGACAGGAGGCCUCUUACACUGGAUGUGAAGCUAUGUCAUGGCACUGGCCAGUUUUGUUCAUCUUGGACUCACCAAUGGAACUGGCAGAUGGCAGGCACAGUGGAUACUGUGAUGAAAACGUCUCUGCGGUACUCACAGUUUCAUGCAGGAAAUAAGUAUGGCAAUAAUAAUAACAGUGUAAUAAGGAGAAAAGGAGAGAGCCAUCUGUCUUAGCCCACAAGGCUUUCUACAGUGAUAAGCCUUGAGCUCAGCACUGUCAGGCCAUGGCCAAAUUUGGAAGCUUGGAAAUGACACUCCAAGCACAGGAAAAGGCACAUGCAAAGACAUGGAAGUGAGGGAGAACUUUAUGUUGUUCUGCAGAUGUCAAAAAUGUCCCACAGGGCUGGAGCCCUGCAUGUAGGUCUGGGAGCAGCAACAGCGGACAGCUGUUAAGAGACCAGAUCACAGAAGUGCAGGUUGAGAAGAUAGAAUCGAUGCCCUUCAGGGACUCAGCCAGUCAUCAUACGGAUUGAUGUAGAGAUAUUCUCUACUAGCAUGCAUGACGUCCACUCUGAGUGUGCGAUUCCCGUCUGAGCAGACCUUUCCACGUUGCGGUCCCAACACACCUUAGGUAAAACAUUCAUCCUCCUGUUGCCAUCCUGUCCUGCAGCAAAACCUGCCCUCAGUCUCCUCCUGUGCUGCCAACCUUCAUGAGUCAUCAUCCAGCCAAUUCCAUGGCCAAACCCAGAAAUCUUCAUUGACUUUUUCCCUUCCCUUACACAUAGGCCCCUGCAAUAGAAUGAGUCCUAACUGUCACCUUUUCUUCAUCUUUUAAAGCUCUGCUAUCUCUCCAUCUAUCAGGGAUUAUUACCAUUGGUCUUCUUUUUUCCAUUCAUCCUCUGCACAACUGACAGAUUGCGUUUUCUAAGAUGAACUGUCAUCACAUCAGUGCCCAGGUUAAGUCCUUGCACAAUGCCCUGUAGCACUGGGGGCAACAUUUCAAAUCUUCGCUUCUCAUCCCAGUGCUUCUAUGACCUUGUCUCUAACAGACUUCAGCUGUUGCUGUUCCCCAACCAACAUGCAGGACUCUAGCCCUCUGGGACAUUUUUGACAUCUUUACCUACGUUGUGGACAUUACAAACUGGAAACCUUUCUGUACAUACAAAACUAAAAUCAUUCAUUGAAUGAUU